CUAAACAUUUAGGAUUGUAUAAUCCAAAAUAUGUCUUUUUUACACCACAAUUUCACUUAUCUGGGUUUUUGACACUUUUCGAAUUAUAUAAUCCUAACUAGUACUUGGACCCGUGCGAUGCACGGGAAGUUCAUUAUCCCGUUGUCUAAUUUUGGAAAUUCUAGAAAACCAUGAUGUUGAAUCACGUUCUUAGCCCCCAUGGAAAUUCUGGAAAAUCUGAAGGUUGAGAAAGGAUGGAGAAAACAAACAUGAAGCUGAGAAAAUAGAUCUGAAGGUUCCAAUCAUAUCUGGAAACCCAUACAUAACCAAAAAUGAUCCACACACCACCUUCCUAUAUUGUUCUUUCCUCAGCUGCUUCUUUCUUCAUCAGAACCGAAAACGAACAUGAAGGGUGAGCAAGAAGACUGCAGUGUUCCAUGCAUCCUCAGCUGCUUCUUUCUUCAUCAGUUGGCAUUGUUGGAAAACCGAAACAAGUGUUGUUCUUACAACACAACACAAACAUGGGCUUUAUAAAUGGCCAAACAAUAUUGUAUAUUGUAUAGGCUAUACAAAUCCAACAAUUGCAUCUUCUCUCUCGCUCCAGCCAUCCACCAUCGUGAGCGCCGCUGUCUGUGUGAUAUCUAAUUGAAGAAUGAGAAGAAGAAAAGAUGAAAGAGUUUUGAAGAUUUAGGAUUGAUGUAAAUUGGAAUUUAAGGAUGAAUUUAUGGAGUUUAUUGGGUUUGAUUGUUAUAAGUUUAUUGUAGUUUUCUGCAUUUAAGGAUGAUCGAAUUUAUGCAAGAGUUUUAUUUA